rnacentral:rRNA from 1 species
GACAGAGGGGGCAAGCGUUGUUCGGAAUUACUGGGCGUAAAGGGCUCGUAGGCGGCCAACUAAGUCAGACGUGAAAUCCCCAGGCUUAACCUGGGAACUGCGUCUGAUACUGGAUGGCUUGAAUUCGGGAGAGGGAUGCGGAAUUCCAGGUGUAGCGGUGAAAUGCGUAGAUAUCUGGAGGAACACCGGUGGCGAAGGCGGCAUCCUGGACCGACACUGACGCUGAGGAGCGAAAGCCAGGGGAGCAAACGGG